GAUGAACGCUGGCGGCGUGCCUAAUACAUGCAAGUCGAGCGAACAGAUGAUGAGCUUGCGCCUCUGACGUUAGCGGCGGACGGGUGAGUAACACGUGGAUAACCUACCUAUAAGACUGGGAUAACUUCGGGAAACCGGAGCUAAUACCGGAUAAUAUAUUGAACCGCAUGGUUCAAUAGUGAAAGACGGUUUUGCUGUCACUUAUAGAUGGAUCCGCGCCGCAUUAGCUAGUUGGUAAGGUAACGGCUUACCAAGGCAACGAUGCGUAGCCGACCUGAGAGGGUGAUCGGCCACACUGGAACUGAGACACGGUCCAGACUCCUACGGGAGGCAGCAGUAGGGAAUCUUCCGCAAUGGGCGAAAGCCUGACGGAGCAACGCCGCGUGAGUGAUGAAGGUCUUCGGAUCGUAAAACUCUGUUAUUAGGGAAGAACAACUGUGUAAGUAACUAUGCACGUCUUGACGGUACCUAAUCAGAAAGCCACGGCUAACUACGUG
rnacentral:rRNA from 1 species